rnacentral:tRNA from 1 species
GCCCGCGUGGCUCCGUGGUUGAGCGUUGGUCUAUGAACCAGGAGGUCUGGUUCAAUUCCAGGUCAGGGCA